GCCUUAGAUAAACUAAACUCUCCAGUAACUAUAAAAAAAAUUCUUGUCGCACAUCAGUACUCCCUAAAAACCUUCACUGCUUAAUAACCGCAAGGGCCACAUUGUUUGCCAAUCACAGAAAAGAUAAUCACUUAUCCCUUUUGCAUCAUGGAGAAGCAACAAAACCGUAAAAUUUUUACCUUCCCGAAUAAUUAUGAGCUACUGGGUUCUAAAAAUUAAUGUCUCACAAUUAAUAAACUAGUCUUCAGUAGAAGUAAUAAGCCUUGCACAUAAUUAGAUAGCUGGUUUUCCGCAAAAAGUACCAAAGUACUACCUCAUAGUAGACUUUACCACUAGUAAGCAUGAGUGUCAGCCUUUUAAGGACUAGCCUAAAAGGAUAAACAAAAAUAAUCUACACACCUUUACUCUUUAAGUAGGCUUAAAAGCAGCCACCUAAACAGCGUUCUAGCUAAUAAAUUUCUCUCCAAUAAUAUCCAAAAAUAUAAUUUUAACUAAUAGCGAAAUCUAGUAUUAAACGUCGUUCACUAACAAACAGGCAUUCUAUUAGUAUUACUUACAGGUAAACUUAAAAAUCUUGACAAAACUAAGACUGAUUUUAAAUUUAACCACCAACCCACACAGAGUGAACUCGGCAACAAAAUCCCCUGCCUGUUUACCAAAAACAUCGUCUUUUGUUAAUUCCCGCAUAAAAGAUAAUGCCUGCCCAGUGAAAAAUCUUUAAACGGCCGCGUUAGCGUGAGCGUGCUAAGGUAGCGUAAUAAAUAGCCUUUUAAUUGGAGGCCAGUGAAUGGCAAGACUAGGGACACCUAUACCCUGUGUGACAAAAAAACUUUUCAUCUAAGUGAAAAGACUUAGAUAACAAAGAAAGACGAAAAGACCCCGCGGAACUUUACCUUUUCCAAUCUUCACGUGCUUAGGAACACAAAAAUGAAAGGUUUGAUUGGGGCAAUCUUGGAACCAAACAAACUUCCAAUUUCACCAUACAUAAUAAUACAAAACUCAAUAAGGACCUAAAAGAAGUUACCCCGGGGAUAACAGCGUAAUCCAGCUUGAGAGUACGCAUCGAAAGAAUCUGGGUUUGCGACCUCGAUGUUGGCUUAGGGACAUCCACAUAAGUGCAACCGCCAUGACAGGAUAGUCUGUUCGACUAUUAUACCCUUACACGAGCUGAGUUAAGACCGGCGCAAGCUAGGUUGGUUUCUAUCUUCUUCCCUUGACAACUUUCUUGAUUGUACGAAAGGACCCCAAGAAAUGCAUUUCAAUUAAGCAUUUUUCCUAAAUAUUGCAUCCAUAACCCUAAUAUUUUUUAACUUUAC
rnacentral:rRNA from 1 species